GGGCUCACACAAGCGGUGGAGCAUGUGGUUCAAUUCGAAGCAACGCGCAGAACCUUACCUGGGCUUGACAUGCUAGGAUUAUCCCUAUGAAAGUAGGGUAGGCCCUUCGGGGUACAACUAGUACAGGUGCUGCAUGGCUGUCGUCAGCUCGUGUCGUGAGAUGUCGGGUUAAGUCCCUUAACGAGCGAAACCUUUGCCCUUAGUUACCAGCGGGUUAUGCCGGGGACUCUAAGGGGACUGCCGGUGUCAAACCGGAGGAAGGUGGAGAUGACGUCAAGUCCUCAUGGCCUUUAUGCCCAGGGCCACACACGUGCUACAAUGGGAUGCACAGAGCGAACCGAGAGCGCAAGCUGGAGGAAAUCGCAUAAAUCAUCCCUCAGUUCAGAUCGGAGGCUGCAACUCGCCUCCGUGAAGUUGGAAUCGCUAGUAAUCGCGGAUCAGCUACGCCGCGGUGAAUGUGUUCCUGAGCCUU
rnacentral:rRNA from 1 species